GCAUAUCAAAAGCGGAGGAAAAGAAACCAACAGGGAUUGCCUCAGUAGCGGCGAGUGAAGCGGCAAGAGCUCAGAUUUGAAAUCGUGCUUUGCGGCACGAGUUGUAGAUUGCAGGUUGGAGUCUGUGUGGAAGGCGGUGUCCAAGUCCCUUGGAACAGGGCGCCCAGGAGGGUGAGAGCCCCGUGGGAUGCCGGCGGAAGCAGUGAGGCCCUUCUGACGAGUCGAGUUGUUUGGGAAUGCAGCUCCAAGCGGGUGGUAAAUUCCAUCUAAGGCUAAAUACUGGCGAGAGACCGAUAGCGAACAAGUACUGUGAAGGAAAGAUGAAAAGCACUUUGAAAAGAGAGUGAAACAGCACGUGAAAUUGUUGAAAGGGAAGGGUAUUGCGCCCGACAUGGGGAUUGCGCACCGCUGCCUCUCGUGGGCGGCGCUCUGGGCUUUCCCUGGGCCAGCAUCGGUUCUUGCUGCAGGAGAAGGGGUUCUGGAACGUGGCUCUUCGGAGUGUUAUAGCCAGGGCCAGAUGCUGCGUGCGGGGACCGAGGACUGCGGCCGUGUAGGUCACGGAUGCUGGCAGAACGGCGCAACACCGCCCGUCUUG
rnacentral:rRNA from 1 species